CUUUGUAGCUCCCUGGCUAUCUGAAACAAAGAGGAAAAUUUAUGGCAUUGCGAGCCUUCACGGAGCCGAAUGAUGUUUACACAGGCAUACCUCGCCAUGAGCGAGCACGGCCCAGAAGUCUGGGACGCUGCGGUGCAUUCUGGGUAAGGGAGGAGGAGCCCGUUGGAGUCCCAGCAGACGCCCUAGCCCACUUGGUGACUCAGGCGAUGAUGCUCCCCUGGUCGGGACCCUGCUGAAGGAGACCGGAGAUGGGGCGCUGGAGUCCUGAGGAUCAGAGCUUUUCAUGGGAAAAGAAGAAAGAAAAAAACGAGAGCCUCUGUUCUCUGCAGCUGAGCCGCUGAGCACUUCUGCUCCAAUCAAGACCCUUCCCCUACGCCCUCCUGGCUUUAUCUCCCAUGCAUGUGGACGAUGUCACGAGACAACUGCCGCCAGGCAUAAAAACACACCUUCUCGCCUAGCAAAGAAAACAAUCUGUUGCCACUCCGGUUGAACUGCUCUCGCUCCUAGAUGACCGCUGGCGUUCUUCCUGUCAGCCGCCUGCGGAGCUGAGUCAGUGAUCCCAUCUCUUCCGGAAGGCAGCUCCAGCAAUGCCGGCGCGGCUGUGGUUUGAAAGCCACCGUGGAAAGACCAUCGAGAUCCCUCCUGGGAGAUCCACUGUGCUGCUGGGUUCUGCUUUUUCUGCUACUGCUCGGCUGCCCGUUGGCCAAACAGCCGCCAGGCCUGUAGUUUGUCCCCAGUCAGUCAGCCAGCCAGCCAGCCAGCGAGCCAGCCAGCCAGGCAGGGCAGGCAGGCAGGCAGAGAGCCAGAUUGCCUGGCCUGGCCAUUCCGUGUUGUUUAACUUGGCGGCCUCGAAGAAAUAAACUUUUUUUUGUUGUUGUUCUGGUCUGUGUCUCUCUCUCUCUCUCUCUCUCUCUCUCUCUCUCUCUCUCUCUCUCUCUCUGUACUGGACGGAAUGGUUAUCUACAUCUUUUUGCACUGACCCCCUUUUUCUACCCUGAUCUCCCCUGUUGAAAACAUAUCCUUUCCUCUACUCGUCUAGUCAUAACUGCACUUUGGGACCAUAUUCUUACUCUUCUUCUUUGGUUGCAACGAACCAAGCUGAAACAUAUAAUGCCGGUUCACCUUCACAUUAUACAUCACUGGGGAGCG
ensembl:lncRNA